CCGAACCAGAGUUCCUAGGCACGGCCCCGUGCACCCAGUCGGGAGCCUCCCUGCUAAGGGUCAGCGAAGGCUUGGGGUGCUGGCAUUAGGGCUGGGUCCUGAGGGAAGAUGAGGGAGAGAAGUAUAGGAGGAGGAGGGAGUUGAAGGCUGCAGACAGGAGGAGGAAGGGGAGGGAGUAGGGCUGCCAGGGGAGGGGUGGAGGGCUGGAUAAGGAGGAGGGCUACAAAGAAAAGAGUAAAGCUGCAGGGAAGGAGGGUGGAGGGCUGCAGCGGGAGGAGGAGAGGGAGGAAGGCUGCAAGGGGAGGAGGAGGAGUAUUGCAGGGGAGGGGGAGGAGAGCUGGCAGUGGAGGAGGAGGAGUAUUGCAGGGGAGGGGGAGGAGAGCUGGCAGGGGAGGAGGAGGAGGGCUACAAAGAAAAGAACUGCAGUGGGAGAAGGAGAGUGGUGGAGAGUUGCAGGGGAGGGGAAGAGGGAGGAGGACUGGAGGAGGAGGAGGGCUGCAGAGGAGGAGGGUAGUGGAGGGCUGCAGAGGAGGAGGAAGAGGAGAAUAGGGAGGACAAAUCCACUCUAGCAGGGGAACGAAAGCAGCAUGGGGCAGACAGAUCCACUCUAGCAUUCCAAUCUCCCUAAGCCUUUGAAUCCCUUCUUCUACACUAGCCACGGGCGGCCAGGCAUGUCCAGUUAUCCCGUGGUGGGCCAUGUUUUGGCCCAUGUUUCAGCCAAGCAGCCAACCAACCAAUUAGAGCCCUUUCUAAAUGCAGAAUCUCUGCUUAGUGAGCCCGUAUCAAUAAACUUGGCCUGAUCUAACUCUAUGUUCCUCCUACCAUUCUCCCAGGCCCUCAAUAUGCACUCCCACGGUCCUGGGAUUUCUAUGUAAACUGGAAAACUCACGUUCUCUUGGCAGACACCGUGAGGCUGGGAGUUCCACAUGUGCUAUAAUCCAGCCACUGAAGGAUGAGAUUCUGGGUUUGAUUUUCAGUAGUCUCAGACCCGCAGCUAAAGGAGGUAAGAGUCUCUCUUGGGACAGUCAUAACUUUCAGAUUAUUCAUGUGACACUUCAGCUGGGAAUCUGAAUCCUGAGCUCACUCCCAUGAUACUUUUUCUGAGACAGAGUCUCACUCUGUAGCCCAGGCUGGAAUGCAGUGGGGCAAUCCCAGCUCACUGCAACCUCUGCCUCCCAGGUGCAAGUAAUUCUCCUGCCUCAGCCUCCCGAGUAGCUGGG
rnacentral:lncRNA from 1 species